CGAAAACUCAAGAUCUUCACAAUUUAACAUUGCACAGGCGUUUAGAAUAGAGUGACUGAGAAAUUUUAUGACAUCAAUUUUUUUUUUCAGAGUAGUUUGUUACAGCAUAAAAUAUGUCACUUCCUGUUGCCAGUAGGUGGCGCUAUGACUAUAACUGAAUAUGGGUAUGUCAAUCUGUUCAGGUCAGGAGUCUUAUCAAACAUGUGAAGUUUGUGGCAGAUUGGACAUUGUAUGUCUGAGUUAUAGCAACUUCAUUUUUCAUGGCGAAUCAUCGAAAUUCGUCAGGCCGCCACGGACACGCCCUUCAACGAAAACUCAAGAUCUUCGCAAUUUAACAUCGCAAAGGCCUUUAGAUUAGGCAUACCAAAUUUGGUGUUGAUCUGAAUAAAUCUCUAGGAGGAGUUCGUUAAAAUACAAGGCAUGCAAAUGAC
ensembl:lncRNA